rnacentral:rRNA from 1 species
UAGAGUUUGAUCCUGGCUCAGAGCGAACGCUGGCGGCAGGCCUAAUACAUGCAAGUCGAACGAUCCUUCGGGAUAGUGGCGGACGGGUGAGUAACACGUGGGAACGUGCCUUUCGGUUCGGGAUAACCCAGGGAAACUUGGGCUAAUACCGGAUACGCCCUUCGGGGGAAAGAUUCAUUGCCGAAAGAUCGGCCCGCGUCGGAUUAGCUAGUUGGUGGGGUAAUGGCCUACCAAGGCGACGAUCCGUAGCUGGUCUGAGAGGAUGACCAGCCACACUGGGACUGAGACACGGCCCAGACUCCUACGGGAGGCAGCAGUGGGGAAUAUUGGACAAUGGGCGCAAGCCUGAUCCAGCCAUGCCGCGUGAGUGAUGAAGGCCCUAGGGUUGUAAAGCUCUUUUGUGCGGGAAGAUAAUGACGGUACCGCAAGAAUAAGCCCCGGCUAACUUCGUGCCAGCAGCCGCGGUAGCCCA